rnacentral:rRNA from 1 species
UUUAUCGGAGAGUUUGAUCCUGGCUCAGGACGAACGCUGGCGGCGUGCCUAAUACAUGCAAGUCGAGCGGACAGAUGGGAGCUUGCUCCCUGAUGUUAGCGGCGGACGGGUGAGUAACACGUGGGUAACCUGCCUGUAAGACUGGGAUAACUCCGGGAAACCGGGGCUAAUACCGGAUGCUUGUUUGAACCGCAUGGUUCAGACAUAAAAGGUGGCUUCGGCUACCACUUACAGAUGGACCCGCGGCGCAUUAGCUAGUUGGUGAGGUAACGGCUCACCAAGGCGACGAUGCGUAGCCGACCUGAGAGGGUGAUCGGCCACACUGGGACUGAGACACGGCCCAGACUCCUACGGGAGGCAGCAGUAGGGAAUCUUCCGCAAUGGACGAAAGUCUGACGGAGCAACGCCGCGUGAGUGAUGAAGGUUUUCGGAUCGUAAAGCUCUGUUGUUAGGGAAGAACAAGUGCCGUUCAAAUAGGGCGGCACCUUGACGGUACCUAACCAGAAAGCCACGGCUAACUACGUGCCAGCAGCCGCGGUAAUACGUAGGUGGCAAGCGUUGUCCGGAAUUAUUGGGCGUAAAGGGCUCGCAGGCGGUUUCUUAAGUCUGAUGUGAAAGCCCCCGGCUCAACCGGGGAGGGUCAUUGGAAACUGGGGAACUUGAGUGCAGAAGAGGAGAGUGGAAUUCCACGUGUAGCGGUGAAAUGCGUAGAGAUGUGGAGGAACACCAGUGGCGAAGGC